GACAGAGGUGCCGAGCGUUAGGCGGAAUCACUGGGCUUAAAGCGUGUGUAGGCGGACUUCUAAGUACCUUGUGAAAUCCCACGGCUUAACCGUGGAACUGCUUGGUAUACUGGUUGUCUUGGGCCAUCUAGGGGCUAGCGGAACAAACGGUGGAGCGGUGAAAUGCGUAGAUAUCGUUUGGAACGCCAAUGGUGAAAACAGCUAGCUGGGGAUGUGCCGACGCUGAGACACGAAAGCCAGGGGAGCGAACAGG
rnacentral:rRNA from 1 species